GAUGAAGAAUGUAGCGAAAUGCGAUAAGUAAUGUGAAUUGCAGAAUUCAGUGAAUCAUCGAAUCUUUGAACGCACAUUGCGCCCCUUGGUAUUCCGAGGGGCAUGCCUGUUCGAGCGUCAUUAUAACCCUCAAGCUCAGCUUGGUGUUGGGGCCUGCUGCACUGGCAGCCCUUAAAAUCAGUGGCGGCGCCAUCUGGCUCUAAGCGUAGUAAUUCUUCUCGCUAUGGAGUCCUGGUGGAUGCUUGCCAUCAACCCCCAAUUUUUCUAUGGUUGACCUCGGAUCAGGUAGGGAUACCCGCUGAACUUAAGCAUAUCAAUAAGCGGAGGA
rnacentral:misc_RNA from 1 species